UUUAACUUGCUUUGUAACUACCGUAUACAAUCUGAUAUGAUAAAUUUAAAAUUUACAGUUAUGAUUCGUUCCUACAUUUUACAUUAAGUCACAGAUAAAGCAAUUUUUUAUAUAAUAUUCGUGUUCAAGCCCUUCAGAAAAGAAGACAUCUUGAAUGCUGUCAAAAAUUCUCAACAUAAAAUUGUUUGAUAGUUUUAACAAAAUUGACGGGAAUUCGGGCUUAUGCAGUUUGUAAAGCGAUCUACGGCGAGAACAUUUAUAAAUAAAAAAUCUGUGAAUUAAACCCUAA